AUAUUGGGCUUGAGAAUAUCAAUUGUGGCCCACUAGUUUCUACAAACUCCACCUUGGGCCCAAAUGAUUUCUUCUCCUCGUGUCUCCUUCCUUUGGUAUCAUCGACGUCGUCUAGAGCUCUCUUCUUUCUUCCAUGGCGACUCUUACGAUGAUGGCGAUUCCAAAAUGAUGAUGGCAUUUAAUCGUACAGAUCCUUCGUCAAGGAUCUCCGAUCCACCACUGCAUCUCCCCUUUUAAGGAUUCCGGCUCAGCUCCUUCGUAUCUCUGUCUCGUGAACCCACCACCGAGGUUUCUUCGGCGGCGCCUCUCACUCCGAUCCUCACCUAUCAUGAGAGAAGAUCGCGACUUCUUCUUUCUUUUUUUUUUUUUUUUUUUUUUAGCCAUCGGAGAUGAUAAUUUCACCGAAAAUAUGACGUCCCCUUUUUUCGCUUCGCAGGCGCAAUUUGUAUGCGUCUCCUUUGCUGUAUCAACGACUCAUGUCUCCCUUCAGCUUUGUUUUUAGCUGUUUAAGACAUUCCUAUGUCGUUAAUCUUUAUCCGUCGAUCCACCGAGCCUCUUUGUUACCGCUUGAGCUGCUCCACCUCGAGCUGAGAACUCCUUUCCUUUAGAACUCCUUGCCUCGCAUCUUCCUAGCAGGUAACUUCCUUGUAACCAUUGAGCUUCCUUGUUAUCGAUAAGAAGUAACUUGUUUGCUCUAACCUUAUUACUUCUUCUUGUGCGAGGUGUAUCGAUAACGAAGUUACCUGCCGUGCUGGUUUCUCAAGCUAUCUUGAGGAGUUCACAACAGAGAUCAAACUUUUGCCCUGGUAAAUACGAUUCGGCAAGGACGUCUCCGUGUACAGCGUGUUGAGAGCUGUCCACAUCGCAGCAGCCGUAUCACAGUUGCAGAUCUUUCUUAGGACUUGGUUUCCUACAUUCACAACAAUGAGAUCUUUCGCUUUCUCUGAUUUCCCGAGCUUGACGGGAUCAAUGGUAGGGAUAGCUUCAGCUUCUUUCUUCUCCGUGUCCUUCAAGGAUCUGCAUAUUGGGCUUGAGAAUAUCAAUUGUGGCCCACUAGUUUCUACAAAUGUGUCUCGGAAUAGCCUCUAAAUACAACAUGGGUUUGGUUGCGGUCGAUGUUCUUGUCGACCCACUUGGCCCAAGUGGUGAGAGCUCGUUUAUAAGCUUCGAGAACCUUGAGCCU